UGGGAUAUAUCUCAGUCAGUAAAGUGCUUGCCUAGCAUGCAUGAAACCCUGGGUCCCACCCUCAGUACCCCAU
rnacentral:tRNA from 1 species